GUUGAAAGCAGAAACUACUGAUUUGCUCAAAUUUAGGCUCAGCUGCCGCUUUUGGAAGUCAUCUUCCAUGAUCUAAAGGCACAUCACUUGUGUACACAUUGAAGAGUGUCGGAGCAAGUACAGAACUUUGUGGUAGCCCAUUAUUCAAAGUGAGCAGCUUGAUGGUUUGACUUCUCAGGUCUCUCCUGGAGGGCAAGGACAUCGAUGCUGGUCAUCUUCAGAAUUUUUUCCAGGUAGUCACACUUGGACCAUGACAGUGCUUCAACGUUCAACUGGCAAAUCUUUCCUACAGGUCUAAUUUGUCUAGGACAUUGGCCCUAAGAAGAUAUUGCCUCACCCACCAUGUCUCUCUAAUGUCCUGGGACUGAUCUGCCUACAACAGUACUGCAUACCUAUCGAAGUGCUGUGAAUUAAAUGGACCUGUGAGAGGAGGUGACACUGGUGCCUAAAUAUGGAUCUAGGCAACGAACAUUUUGAAAACCAUCAUCCCAGGAAAGAUCUCUCCAAAUCAUCGCAACAAAGGCACAUUGGGUGGUUGUGAGCUCCAAUGUUACCUGUUCUGUUGUAAAACAGUGGGUAAAGCAGUCUGCCAGUCUGCCUUGCAAUCAGUGGCAGGACGGUGGCCAUAUUUAUCAAAGUUUCCAGUAUUAUUGUAAUUGCUUACUCAAUAUUACUUUGAAUGCAACAUAUGAAACAUUAAACCAAAUCAAUAUUUAUUAGACACUUUUAGAAUUGUGUUUAUGUGUUUGUGGAUGACACAAAUACAUAUUGAUUGUAUAAAAGAUUCCCCCCUUUAAAUCUACAUCAGAUGACCUCACAUUUAUUUAAAUGUGCAUGCAAAUCUUUCAGUAAAUUAUAUUUCCCCGUCUAAUUGUUAUUGAUUUUCUUCUACGCCAUUUUGUGAAGGAGUACAUUUUGUGUAAGGACUUAGCCACAUAUUGAAGUAUAACAGUGUUUGUGACUUGUAAUUAAAAACAAUAAACAUUUUAUAUGUAUUUUCCUCAUUAGUGGCACAAACUUUGCUAUUAGCAUUAUGCAAAUAAGGGUCCGUAAAAAACUAAAACAUCACUCCAUAAAUACGUUGGAACACAUUUGGCAACAAAGAUUGUUACAGUAAUAAAUUCU